GCGGGCGUGGUGGAAUUGGUAGACACAACAGACUUAAAAUCUGUCGGAGGUAACUCCGUGCCGGUUCAAGUCCGGCCGUCCGCACCA
rnacentral:tRNA from 1 species